rnacentral:rRNA from 1 species
CCUACGGGCGGCUGCAGUGGGGAAUUUUGGACAAUGGGGGCAACCCUGAUCCAGCCAUGCCGCGUGAGUGAAGAAGGCCUUCGGGUUGUAAAGCUCUUUCAGCCGGGAAGAAAAUGCAUGGGUUAAUACCCUGUGCAGAUGACGGUACCGGAAUAAGAAGCACCGGCUAACUACGUGCCAGCAGCCGCGGUAAUACGUAGGGUGCGAGCGUUAAUCGGAAUUACUGGGCGUAAAGCGUGCGCAGGCGGUUUUGUAAGACAGGCGUGAAAUCCCCGGGCUUAACCUGGGAACUGCGUUUGUGACUGCAAGGCUAGAGUACGGCAGAGGGGGGUGGAAUUCCACGUGUAGCAGUGAAAUGCGUAGAGAUGUGGAGGAACACCAAUGGCGAAGGCAGCCCCCUGGGUCGAUACUGACGCUCAUGCACGAAAGCGUGGGUAGCAAACAGGAUUAGAUACCCCAGUAGUC